GCACCCCCCGCCAUCGGCACCAGGAACGAUUACAGCUUGCUGGAGAACUCCGCGCUGGACCCCGCCUCGCUGCGCGCAAAUUCAGACACAUUGAGCUUUAGGAAAGGAUCGAGUGAAAAAUCAACGAAAGCCGACAGCGAGUGAAAGUUACAUUUAAAAAU